rnacentral:rRNA from 1 species
AUACGGAGGGUGCAAGCGUUAUCCGGAUUUAUUGGGUUUAAAGGGUCCGUAGGCGGACUCGUAAGUCAGUGGUGAAAUCUCAUAGCUUAACUAUGAAACUGCCAUUGAUACUGCGGGUCUUGAGUAAAGUAGAAGUGGCUGGAAUAAGUAGUGUAGCGGUGAAAUGCAUAGAUAUUACUUAGAACACCAAUUGCGAAGGCAGGUCACUAUGUUUUAACUGACGCUGAUGGACGAAAGCGUGGGGAGCGAACAGGAUUAGAUACCCUGGUAGUCCACGCCGUAAACGAUGCUAACUCGUUUUUGGGGCUUUACGCUUCAGAGACUAAGCGAAAGUGAUAAGUUAGCCACCUGGGGAGUACGAACGCAAGUUUGAA